GGAUAAUCUACCUUGUCGAUUUUAACGGGGGAGGGGAAUUUUAAACCGAACGCAAACCGCCGCCGGACCCGACCCGACCCGACCCGAUAUGGUCUGAGUCAUACCCUCUAACUAUCCGCUCGAGUAAACAACCUGGAAGAUUACAAUACAUGGCAAUGUUUUCAUUUACAUCCCUGUUGAUUGACAAUUAACGGAUUGGUCCAACAUUAACUGCCGCACGACGCGUAAAUCUUCGCUGGCACUCGACGACGAGAACAAUAGUCGUUUGCUUCAAUUGGAAUCCAUUCCCGAUUCGCCUUCCUUCGCCCCUAAUCCGCGUGCGCUCCAAUCGGAUUAUAAAGCUGCAAUCUUGUGGGAUUUGGAGAUCAUUUCUGGAUCGACUGCAGCAUCUCUUUGAAUCAAUGGAAAAAGAGUUCGAUUCCCUCGAGGCAAAUGGGUCACCAUCACCACCACCACCACCAUGACGGAAUCAACCCAUAUGAGAAUCCCUUCUUGUUCUGCUGCUGCUGCCCAUGCUUGCUUGUGAGUUCCGUACUUAGAGGAAUUGGAAGCUGCAUCUUCGUGUCAUGUUACCCCAUCUUACGGUGCCUUGGCUUGGAGCGCGACCACCAUCACCCCCAUCACCAUCACUGUUGAUAUAUCUUGUGGCUUCUAAAUGUUGGAUGAACGUGGCCUGUUGCUAAAGUUUCUCAAUUGUCGUGAUCUCUUAAAGCAAAAAAAAAAAAAAACAUGGAUGAACAUGGCCCCGUUGUUGAAGUUUCUCAGUUGAAAAAUAGGAAAUUUCUUGCAUGUUGAUUAUUGUGAGUAAAUAUCUACCAGAAAAUAUGUAGCACUUUGUAUGAGAUAUUGGUUUCCAUUCUUAACAAUACAAUGUUGUGUUCUUGA